CAGUCGCCACGGUAAUACAGAGGGUGCGAGCGUUAAUCGGAUUUACUGGGCGUAAAGCGUGCGUAGGCGGCUUCUUAAGUCGGAUGUGAAAUCCCUGAGCUUAACUUAGGAAUUGCAUUCGAUACUGGGAAGCUAGAGUAUGGGAGAGGAUGGUAGAAUUCCAGGUGUAGCGGUGAAGUGCGUAGAGAUCUGGAGGAAUACCGAUGGCGAAGGCAGCCAUCUGGCCUAAUACUGACGCUGAGGUACGAAAGCAUGGGGAGCAAACAGGAUUAGAUACCCCUGUAGUCCCUGUCUCUUAUAA
rnacentral:rRNA from 1 species